GAUGAACGCUGGCGGCGUGCCUAAUACAUGCAAGUCGAACGCAAAACUUUCACCGAAUGCUUGCAUUCACGAAAGUUUUGAGUGGCGAACGGGUGAGUAACACGUGGGUAACCUGCCCAGAAGAGGGGGAUAACACUUGGAAACAGGUGCUAAUACCACAUAAUAACAAAAACCGCAUGGUUUUUGUUUGAAAGAUGGUUUUGCUAUCACUUCUGGAUGGACUCGCGGCGUAUUAGCUAGUUGGUAAGGUAAAGGCUUACCAAGGCAAUGAUACGUAGCCGAACUGAGAGGUUGAUCGGCCACAUUGGGACUGAGACACGGCCCAAACUCCUACGGGAGGCAGCAGUAGGGAAUCUUCCACAAUGGACGAAAGUCUGAUGGAGCAACGCCGCGUGAGUGAAGAAGGUUUUCGGAUCGUAAAACUCUGUUGUUAGAGAAGAACGUGUGUGAGAGUAACUGCUCAUGCAGUGACGGUAUCUAACCAGAAAGCCACGGCUAACUACGUGCCAGCCGCCGCAGUAACAC
rnacentral:rRNA from 1 species